UGAUGGUGGGUUGUGUUUAGGAGUAGUAUUAACAUGAGACACAGUGAUGGUGGGUUGUGUAUAGGAGUAGUAUUAACAUGAGACACAGUGAUGGUGGGUUGUGUUUAGGAGUAGUAUUAACAUGAGACAGUGAUGGUGGGUUGUGUUUAGGAGUAGUAUUAACAUGAGACAGUGAUGGUGGGUUGUGUUUAGGAGUAGUAUUAACAUGAGACACAGUGAUGGUGGGUUGUGUUUAGGAGUAGUAUUAACAUGAGACAGUGAUGGUGGGUUGUGUAUAGGAGUAGUAUUAACAUGAGACAGUGAUGGUGGGUUGUGUCACAGAAAAACACAGCCAUUUUUCCAGCCAAAGAGUGGACUCACAAAAAGCAGAAACAGAGAAUUAAUCAAAUUAAUCACUAACCUUUGAUGAUCUUCAUCAGAUGACGUUCAUAGGACUUCAUGUUACACAAUACAUGUAUGUUUUGUUCGAUAAAGUUCAUAUUUAUAUCCAAAAAUCUCAGUUUACAUUGGCGCGUUAUGGUCAGAAAUGCAUUGUCUCAAACAAACAUCCAGUGAAAGUGCAGAGAGCCACAUCAAAUUAAAGAAAUAAUCAUCACAAACAUUGAUAAACAAUACAAGUGUUAAACAUACAAAUAAAGAUAAACUUCUCCUUAAUGCAACCGCUGUGUCAGAUUUCAAAAAGUCGUUACGGAGAAAGCACACUUUGCGAUUAUGUUAGGUCUGCACCUAGCCACAGAAACCCAUACAGCCAUUUUACAGCCAAGGACAGUGUCACAAAGUCAGAAAUAGCAUUAAAAUUAAUCACCUACCUUUGAUGAUCUUCAUCUGGUGGCACUCCCAGGUCUCCAUGUUAGACAAUAAAUGUUUGUUUUGUUCAAUAAUGUCCCUCUUUAUGACCAAAUACCUCCUUUUUGUUUGCGUGUUUUGUCCAGUAAUCCGAAUGCUUAAAUUAAGGUGUGUGCACUAAUUCCAGUCGAAAAGUUUUUAAAAAGUACAAUAAAAGUUAGUAGAAACAUACCAAACAAUGUUAAAAAUUAAUCCUCCGGUUGUUUUUGUCAUAAAUAAUCAGUAAUAUUUCAACCGGACAAAAGCUUUGUCAAUAGGAAAGGAGGAACCAGAAAGGCGCGUUCCCGAUCAGGGCGCAUGGCUGAUGAAUGGACAUUUCCACUGGCCUCUCAUUGAAACCCAUGAUCCUGCAGCAGUGUUUCCCUGGGUUCCUGUAAUGGGGGUGUGGGCUGCCCUGACUGUUGGAGCUCUUCUACUCACCAUCUACUGCACUCCGAAAAGGAGAUCCAGAGCAGGAAGUGAUGCCACAACAGACACACAG